AGAGUUUGAUCCUGGCUCAGAAUCAACGCUGGCGGCGUGCCUCAGACAUGCAAGUCGAACGCGAAAGUUCCCUUCGGGGGGCGAGUAGAGUGGCGCACGGGUGAGUAACACGUAGGUAAUCUACCUUCGGAUGGGGAAUAACAACCGGAAACGGUUGCUAAUACCGCAUAAUGCAGCGGCACCUAAUGGUGACAGUUGUUAAAGCGGGGGAUCGUAAGACCUCGCGUCUGGAGAGGAGCCUGCGGCGGAUUAGCUAGUUGGUAAGGUAACGGCUUACCAAGGCUAUGAUCCGUAGCCGGCCUGAGAGGGCGGUCGGCCACACUGACACUGACAUACGGGUCAGACUCCUACGGGAGGCAGCAGUCGGGAAUUUUGGGCAAUGGGCGAAAGCCUGACCCAGCAACGCCGCGUGAAGGAUGAAAUCCUUCGGGAUGUAAACUUCGCAAGAACGGGAAGAAUAAGCCGGUAUUAACACCACCGGUGAUGACGGUACUGUUUGUAAGCUCCGGCUAACUCCGUGCCAGCAGCCGCGGUAAUUC
rnacentral:rRNA from 1 species